AGUGUGCGUGACAGGAAAACGCCCAAAGGAUGCGAUGACUUGGACAGUGCAGCAGAAACAAAC
rnacentral:ribozyme from 1 species